AGAAACUAGGGGAAAUGAGUCGGUGAAGGUAGGCUACCAACAUGUGAAGAAUCUCACAUGAUGCGUUUCUCUUUUCUUCUCCUUUUUCACAAAAUGAAAAAGUCGUUUAUAUCGCAUAAAAAACGAGUAACAAAAAAAGGGUUAGAGACGGGAUGAAUUAAUGGCCCAUAUUUAACUUAAUACUUUUUCUGAAGAAAUGAAUUCCGUUAAUGUGAAAAUUGUUUGCUUGCUUACUAAUUACUUUUGUGCUUCCAUACCUUUUUUUUGUUGCA